ACAGAGGGGGCAAGCGUUGUUCGGAAUUACUGGGCGUAAAGGGCGCGUAGGCGGCCUGCUAAGUCGAACGUGAAAUCCCCGGGCUCAACCCGGGAACUGCGUCCGAUACUGGCAGGCUUGAAUCCGGGAGAGGGAUGUGGAAUUCCAGGUGUAGCAGUGAAAUGCGUAGAGAUCGGGAGGAACACCAGUGGCGAAGGCGACUGUCUGGGGAGCAACUGACGCUGAGGCGCGAAAGCUGGGGGAGCAAACGGGA
rnacentral:rRNA from 1 species